rnacentral:tRNA from 1 species
GGCUCUGUGGCGCAAUGGAUAGCGCAUUGGACUUCUAGUGACGAGUUAGAGCAAUUCAAAGGUUGUGGGUUCGAAUCCCACCAGAGUCG